rnacentral:rRNA from 1 species
CACGUAGGCGGAUUGGAAAGUUAGAGGCGAAAUCCCAGGGCUCAACCCUGGAACUGCCUUUAAAACUAUCAGUCUAGAGGUCGAGAGAGGUGAGUGGAAUUCCGAGUGUAGAGGUGAAAUUCGUAGAUAUUCGGAGGAACACCAGUGGCGAAGGCGGCUCACUGGCUCGAUACUGACGCUGAGGUGCGAAAGUGUGGGGAGCAAACAGGAUUAGAUACCCUGGUAGUCC